rnacentral:rRNA from 1 species
AGCUCCAAUAGCGUAUAUUAAAGUUGUUGCGGUUAAAAAGCUCGUAGUUGGAUUUCUGUGGAGGACGGUCGGUCCGCAUUUUGUGCGUGUAUCUGAUACGGACUUUGCAUCCUCUUGUGGUACGUGGGGUGCUUCAUUGCAUUGUGCGGAACGCAAGACUUUUACUUUGAGGAAAUUAGAGUGUUCACGGCAGGCAUGCGCCUUGAAUAUAUUAGCAUGGAAUAAUAAUAUAGGCUACUCGCCCUAUUUUGUUGGUUUCUAGAGCGAUGAGAAUGGUUAAUAGGGAUAAUUGGGGGCACUCGUACUAGAGCGUCAGAGGUGGAAUUCUUAGAUUGCUCUAUGACGAACUACUGCGAAAGCAUUUGCCAAGGAUGUUUUCA